rnacentral:rRNA from 1 species
AGACAGCAGUAGCCGCGGUAAUACAGAGGUCUCAAGCGUUGUUCGGAUUCAUUGGGCGUAAAGGGUGCGUAGGUGGCGUCGUAAGUCAGGUGUGAAAUCUCGGGGCUCAACCUCGAAACUGCACUUGAUACUGCGAUGCUUGAGUACUGGAGAGGAGAUUGGAAUUUACGGUGUAGCAGUGAAAUGCGUAGAUAUCGUAAGGAAGACCAGUGGCGAAGGCGAAUCUCUGGACAGUUACUGACACUGAGGCACGAAGGCCAGGGGAGCAAACGGGAUUAGAUACCCCUGUAGUCCCUGUCUCUUAUAC